GGACAGGCCUGGUAGAGUAGAGGUGGACAGGCCUGGUAGAGUAGAGGUGGACAGGCCUGGUAGAGGAGAGGUGGACAGGCCUGGUAGAGUAGAGGUGGAGAGGUGGACAGGCCUGGUAGAGUAGAGGUGGACAGGCCUGGUAGAGUAGAGGUGGACAGGUGGACAGGCCUGGUAGAGUAGAGGUGGAGAGGUGGACAGGCCUGGUAGAGUAGAGGUGGAGAGGUGGACAGGCCUGGUAGAGUAGAGGUGGAGAGGCCUGGUAGAGUAGAGGUGGACAGGCCUGGUAGAGGAGAGGUGGACAGGCCUGGUAGAGGUGGAGAGGUGGACAGGCCUGGUAGAGUAGAGGUGGAGAGGCCUGGUAGAGUAGAGGUGGACAGGCCUGGUAGAGGAGAGGUGGAGAGGUGGACAGGCCUGGUAGAGUAGAGGUGGACAGGCCUGGUAGAGUAGAGGUGGACAGGUGGACAGGCCUGGUAGAGUAGAGGUGGAGAGGCCUGGUAGAGUAGAGGUGGACAGGCCUGGUAGAGUAGAGGUGGAGAGGUGGACAGGCCUGGUAGAGUAGAGGUGGACAGGCCUGGUAGAGUAGAGGUGGACAGGUGGACAGGCCUGGUAGAGUAGAGGUGGAGAGGUGGACAGGCCUGGUAGAGUAGAGGUGGAGAGGUGGACAGGCCUGGUAGAGUAGAGGUGGAGAGGUGGACAGGCCUGGUAGAGUAGAGGUGGAGAGGUGGACAGGCCUGGUAGAGUAGAGGUGCAGUGGGUUGUGUUUGGGAGACGUUGUUUUGCCAGUGUGGUUCCCUUUGUCUUUUUCAGUUCCAAUUGGAAUUGGAGAUGUGUAUGUGCUCUCCUCUCAUCCCCCUCUGUGUAAUAUGUAGGCUUAUCAAUAAUAACAUCCACAUCGAUAAGUGGCCCAUGAAAUGUAAUGUACGCAUCAAUAGGAAGGUGUGUGUGUCUUGAGAGAGAGGAGAAAGGAAGAGAGAGGAGGA